rnacentral:tRNA from 1 species
GAGUUGCUAGUCCAAUAAAGACAGUUGAUUUCGACUCAACUAAUUAUGGUUUAACCCCAUAGCAUCUCU